UUUGGUGACUAUUGCGGUGGUGUUCACCUCUUCCCAUUCCGAACAGAGUCGUUAAGCCCACCAGCGCAGAUGGUACUACGCAAGUGGGAGAGUAUGUCGUUGCCAAUC
rnacentral:rRNA from 1 species